ensembl:lncRNA
AUUUGCAUACAGAGAAACACGGGUUUUCAAGUGUACAAAUGGCUAAAUGUUCAUGUAACUUACACUUUUUACUAAUAUAUAAGGACAUGGUCACUUGAAAGUGUCUUUAUCCUUUCUCAAAUCAGUCACCACCAGCACCAUCAGCUAUAUUCAAAUUUCCCUGGUCAACUUGGUCUACUGAGUGAGUUCUAGGACAGCCAGACAUGCACAGAGAAACCCUGUCUCAAAACAAAACCAAAACCAAGAAAACCAAACAAGGAAGAAGAGGAAAAGGGAGAGGAGGAGGAAGAAGAGGAGGAGGGAGAGUUGUUGUUUAUGAUUGUGCGUUUAUCAGUUGGGGGAUCGAGGAGAUCGAGUCCUUCAGUUUGUACCGUGUUCUGCUCCCUCGCUUGCUGUAAAGACUGAGAUUCAACCUUGUUGCUUGGGUUGGUGUCGAUUAGCUUUUACCAGUUUCCCAUUCUGUGCAGAUUUCUGAAGAAUGGAUCAUAGCUUUCUUGUCCUGACACUUACCACAGGAGCACAGGUUGUCGUGUUCACUGGGUAGGAAGUUUGACCUGAACGAUGUGAAAGCAAGGAGUAGGCAGUGAACCACUACCUGGAUCUCAGGGUGGCCCCGAUGGUGCCCUGUUCUGCCCUACCCCCACCACUCGGUGGAGAGCGAAGACCUCAUUAGUUCCAAGAUGCACAUGCCUAAGGGAUAUAGGAUUGCUGACAAGAUACAAGGUAGUCUAUGGCAGGUCCUCCAGAGAGCCUUGAUGUAUCAUGUUUUACUCCUUGUCCUCAAAAGUGGUUGCAUCUUUGGUGAGAUGGCAGGGUCCUAGGGUUCUAGAUCUUUCCUGAAAUGAGAACUGUCUACAAAGUGAAUUCUGAAACACCCAGGGAUAUAAAGAGAAACCCUGCAGCUUACAGUGAUAGGCGUGACGUCCUGACACACUACUUUAAUCUGAGCUCUUGGGAAGCAGGCCAGGCAAGGCUGCAUAGCGAGUUCCCUACCUUGACAAAUAAGUAGGUAAACCCAGUGGCAGUAUGAUGUGGUUAAUACAGUUUAAAUUAUUUAUUUAUUCAUAUAUGUUUGCUUAGCCUUGGGUUUUGAUACAGGGUCUUGCUGAG